rnacentral:lncRNA from 7 species
GCCAUCACAGGAGGGGGGAUCUUUGGAAGUGAAUGCCUGGCCUGAAGCCCAGCUACUCCAGUAAGCAAGGACCUGCUUCUAGCAAGGCUUAGGUGCUUCAGAAGAAGGUGUGGAAAGCUGAUGCUAUGAAGCUCACAAAUGAAAGUUAGCAGAACUUGUCAUUGCUGCAGUGAUAUCUUCUACCUGAUCCACCGGUGUCCCCACUGCUGGGAAGAAGCUGCCUGGCUGCAGCAGCGUAGGCAGCGUGCUGAGUCUCAACCAUAUAAAUCCACUAGAUUUUUCAAGAUGAUUUGUAUUCAUGAAGUUCAAAUGCUGGGAAGUGGAUCUGUGCCUGUCGUGUAGGGCACACCUUAUGGAUUAACUUUUAGAGGUUCCUGUCCCUCCCUUCUUGGAGCUAGAGAGAGUUUCCUGCUGCCAGACUACAGGAGUGCAGCCCUGGCUUGUAUCAGACAAGGACCAGUCUUACCAGAAGCAAGGAUUAUGAGGAGAGAGGUCAGACAUUAAGAAAGGGAGAGAGACUUUCACUUUUGGCUUUCACAGUUUGGGGAAUGAAGCCAUGUAAGUAGUAAUUAGGUGACUACUGGGAAUUGAACUCCUUUGCUACAAUGGACCCUAAUGGGCCCAUGAAGGUAUUUCAGACUUGACUCUGAACUCUGUGAAGUUUAGCAGGCUGUGUGCCAAAAUUUCAUGUUUUGUUCUGUAGUGUAUAUAUCGUAGCUACAUGAGAUAACUAUCAUUUGAGUAUUGCCGUAUGGGUCCUAUUGCAAUUGAUGAUGGCCGUUCUGCUAGUGGGCUACUGAGGACUACAGUGCUGCAGGUCUGGAAGUGCAUGUGUGUGUGGGCACAUGCAUGUGCAUGAGGAUUCUGUUCCUCUCCAGUUUCACUCAGCACAUUUGCAACUGUGAUUCAGUAACAAAGGCAGAUAAAACAUCUCACUCUCUGAGGAUGUGCAAGCAAUGCCAAUAAAAGGGAGAAGAAUC